GUGCUUGAUUUGGCAGCACAUAAACUAAAAUUGGAACAAUAAAGAGUAGAGUAGCAUGGUCCUUGUGCAAGGAUGAUACACAAAUUCAUGAAAUAUGUUGUGUUUUU
rnacentral:snRNA from 1 species